rnacentral:rRNA from 1 species
GGGAAUCUGCCCUUGGGUUCGGAAUAACAGUUAGAAAUGACUGCUAAUACCGGAUGAUGACGUAAGUCCAAAGAUUUAUCGCCCAGGGAUGAGCCCGCGUAGGAUUAGCUAGUUGGUGAGGUAAAAGCUCACCAAGGCGACGAUCCUUAGCUGGUCUGAGAGGAUGAUCAGCCACACUGGGACUGAGACACGGCCCAGACUCCUACGGGAGGCAGCAGUGGGGAAUAUUGGACAAUGGGCGAAAGCCUGAUCCAGCAAUGCCGCGUGAGUGAUGAAGGCCUUAGGGUUGUAAAGCUCUUUUACCCGGGAUGAUAAUGACAGUACCGGGAGAAUAAGCUCCGGCUAACUUCGUGCCAGCAGCCGCGGUAAUACGAGGGGAGCUAGCGUUAUUCGGAAUUACUGGGCGUAAAGCGCACGUAGGCGGCUUUGUAAGUAAGGGGUGAAAGCCCAGAGCUCAACUCUGGAAUUGCCUUUUAGACUGCAUCGCUUGAAUCCAGGAGAGGUGAGUGGAAUUCCGAGU